GACGAACGCUGGCGGCGUGCUUAACACAUGCAAGUCGAACGGAAAGGCCCUGCUUUUGUGGGGUGCUCGAGUGGCGAACGGGUGAGUAACACGUGAGUAACCUGCCCUUGACUUUGGGAUAACUUCAGGAAACUGGGGCUAAUACCGGAUAGGAGCUCCUGCUGCAUGGUGGGGGUUGGAAAGUUUCGGCGGUUGGGGAUGGACGCGCGGCUUAUCAGCUUGUUGGUGGGGGAGUGGCUUACCAAGGCUUUGACGGAUAGCCGGCAUGAGAGGGUGAACGGCCACCAUGGGACUGAGGUACGGACCAGAGUCGUACGGGAGGCAGAAGUGGGAAAUAUUGCACAAUGGGCGGAAGCCUGAUGCAGCAACGCCGCGUGCGGGAUGACGGCCUUCGGGUUGUAAACCGCUUUCGCCUGUGACGAAGCGUGAGUGACGGUAAUGGGUAAAGAAGCACCGGCUAACUACGUG
rnacentral:rRNA from 1 species